rnacentral:rRNA from 1 species
AUUGAACGCUGGCGGCAGGCCUAACACAUGCAAGUCGAACGGUAACAGGAAGAAGCUUGCUUCUUUGCUGACGAGUGGCGGACGGGUGAGUAAUGUCUGGGAAACUGCCUGAUGGAGGGGGAUAACUACUGGAAACGGUAGCUAAUACCGCAUAACGUCGCAAGACCAAAAAGGGGGACCUUCGGGCCUCUUGCCAUCGGAUGUGCCCAGAUGGGAUUAGCUAGAAGGUGGGGUAACGGCUCACCUAGGCGACGAUCCCUAGCUGGUCUGAGAGGAUGACCAGCCACACUGGAACUGAGACACGGUCCAGACUCCUACGGGAGGCAGCAGUGGGGAAUAUUGCACAAUGGGCGCAAGCCUGAUGCAGCCAUGCCGCGUGUAUGAAGAAGGCCGUCGGGGUGUAAAGUACUUUCAGCGGGGAGGAAGGGAGUAAAGUUAAUACCUUUGCUCAUUGACGUUACCCGCAGAAGAAGCACCGGCUAACUCCG